AUGCGGGUUAACCAGAUAGGACCGGCACACACAUGUGUUUCAAGUAGUAGGCUCAAUUCAGCAAUGGCCUCACAAGAUUGGGUUCAAGAAAGGUCCAAGAAAAUUUUAAGGAAAACUCCAAACAUUGGUUGCAAGGAUUUACAAGAAAAGUUAGAGGAAGACUGGAAUGUAACCACUGGCUAUGACACUGUAUGGAAGGGGAGGGAGAGAGCAAAGGAUGAGAUAUAUGGUUCUUGGGGUAGUAGCUUCCGUUACCUGUAUAAUUUUAAAGCAGAGAUGGAACUUAGAUCCCCUGGAAGCAUUGUUGAGGUCGAUACUAAGCUAACGAAAGGUAAAGUUUACUUUCACAGAUUUUUUAUGGCACUUAAGCCUUGUGUAGAUGGAUUCCAUGCUGGAUGUAGGCCUUAUCUUAGCAUAGACUCAACUGCAUUGAAUGGAAAGUGGAAUGGUCAUUUAGCUGCAUGCACAGCUUUAGAUGGACAUAAUUGGAUGUUUCCACUUGCAUUUGGCUUUAUUGAGGUUGAAGAUGAAGAUAAUUGGACAUGGUUCAUGACACAGUUGCAUAGGGCAUUAGGGCCAAUUUCAAAGCUUGCUAUAUGUACGGAUGCAUGCAAAGGCCUAGAAAAUGCAGUUAAGAAAGUUUUCCCUCAAGCAGAACAGAGGGAGUGCUUUAGGCAUUUAAUGCAGAAUUUUUCAAAAAGAUAUAAUGGUGACAUAAUUGGACGCAUGUGGGCUGCUGGUAAGACACAUAGACCUUCAAUGUUUGAGUACCACUUCUCCAAGGUUCUAGAAUCUAGCCAAACUGUGGGCAAGUACUUGCAAGAGUACCAUAAUUUGAAGUGGAUGAGGUCUAGUUUUGACACUGAGAUCAAGUGCGAUUACAUUCAUAACAACCUUGCAGAGACCUUCAAUAAUUGGAUAAAAGGAACCAAAGAUCUUCCCGUAGAUGUGUUAGCUGACACGCUUAAUGGAAAGAUAAUGAAAUUGGUUGCAACAAGGAGAACAAUUGGGGAGAAGUUACAAGGACGAAUGUUGCCAGCAGUUGUACAACAAGUGAAUAAUAGAACAAGGGGGCUUGGGCACUUGAAAGUUACCAGAUCAAGUAAUUGGAAAGGUGAGGUCAGGGACAUCAACAAAGACAAUUUGAGGCAUGUGGUUAACAUAGAGAAAAGCGAG
rnacentral:rRNA from 1 species